UACGGAGGGUGCAAGCGUUAUCCGGAUUCACUGGGUUUAAAGGGCUCGUAGGCGGUCUGUUGCGUCGGGAGUGAAAACUUACAGCUUAACUGUGAGCGUGCUUUCGAUACGGGCAGACUUGAGGCAUUCAGGGGAGAACGGAAUUCCUGGUGUAGCGGUGAAAUGCGCAGAUAUCAGGAGGAACACCAGUGGCGAAGGCGGUGCUCUGGGCCGGAACUGACGCUGAGGAGCGAAAGCGUGGGGAGCAAACAGG
rnacentral:rRNA from 1 species